rnacentral:rRNA from 1 species
UACGAAGGGGGCUAGCGUUGCUCGGAAUCACUGGGCGUAAAGGGUGCGUAGGCGGGUCUUUAAGUCAGGGGUGAAAUCCUGGAGCUCAACUCCAGAACUGCCUUUGAUACUGAGGAUCUUGAGUUCGGGAGAGGUGAGUGGAACUGCGAGUGUAGAGGUGAAAAUUCGUAGAUAUUCGCAAGAACACCAGUGGCGAAGGCGGCUCACUGGCCCGAUACUGACGCUGAGGCACGAAAGCGUGGGGAGCAAACAGG